AUGCUCGCUUUGGCAGCACAUAUACUAAAAUUGGAAAAAUACAGAGAAGAUUAGUGUGAACCCUUCACAAGGAUGACACUCAAAUUCAUGAAGCAUUCCAUAUUAAA